rnacentral:rRNA from 1 species
CAGCAGCCACGGUAAUACAGAGGGUGCGAGCGUUAAUCGGAUUUACUGGGUGUAAAGCGUGCGUAGGCGGCUUCUUAAGUCGGAUGUGAAAUCCCUGAGCUUAACUUAGGAAUUGCAUUCGAUACUGGGAAGCUAGAGUAUGGGAGAGGAUGGUAGAAUUACAGGUGUAGCGGUGAAAUGCGUAGAGAUCUGGAGGAAUACCGAUGGCGAAGGCAGCCAUCUGGCCUAAUACUGACGCUGAGGUACGAAAGCAUGGGGAGCAAACAGGAUUAGAUACCCCAGUAGUCCCUGUCUCUUAUAC